CUAACUCCUUACGGGGAAGGGCAGCAGUGGGGGGAAAUUUUGGGACAAUGGGCCGAAAGCUGAUCCCAGCGACGCCGCGUGAGGGGACGAAGCCCUUUCGGGGGUGUAAACCUCUGUUGUGAGGGACGAAUAAGAUCUGGAGGAAAUGCCAGAUCGAUGACGGUACCUCACGAGAAAGCCCCGGCUAACUACGUGCCAGCAGCCGCGGUAAUACGUAGGGGGCGAGCGUUACCCGGAUUCACUGGGCGUAAAGGGGGCGCAGGCGAUCCAGUAUGUCGGGUGUGAAAUCCCACAGCUCAACUGUGGAAUUGCGCCCGAAACUACUGGGUUUGGGGCUGGUAGAGGGAGACGGAACUGCUGGUGUAGGGGUGAAAUCCGUAGAUAUCAGCAGGAAUGCCGGUGGGGAAGCCGGUCUCCUGGGCCAAGCCCGACGCUGAGGCCCGAAAGCUAGGGGAGCAAACCGGAUUAGAUACCCGGGUAGUCCUAGCCGUAAACGAUGCCCACUAGGUGUGGGGGAGUCAUUCCUCCGUGCUGUAGCUAACGCGUUAAGUGGGCCGCCUGGGGAGUACGCCCGCAAGGGUGAAACUCAAAGGAAUUGGCGGGACCCCGCACAAGCGGUGGAGCGUGUGGUUUAAUUGGAUGCUAAGCCAAGAACCUUACCAGGGCUUGACAUGCAGGUGGUACCAACCCGAAAGGGAAGGGACCCUUUCCUUUUGGAAAGGGAGCCUGCACAGGUGGUGCACGGCCGUCGUCAGCUCGUGCCGUGAGGUGUUGGGUUAAGUCCCGCAACGAGCGCAACCCCUGCCCUUAGUUGCCAGCGGUUCGGCCGGGCACUCUAAGGGGACCGCCGGCGACGAGCCGGAGGAAGGAGGGGACGACGUCAGGUACUCGUGCCCUUUAUGCCCUGGGCUACACACGCGCUACAAUGGGUGGUACAGUGGGUCGCGACCUCGCGAGAGGGAGCCAAUCCCCAAAACCAUCCUCAGUUCAGAUCGCAGGCUGCAACCCGCCUGCGUGAAGCCGGAAUCGCUAGUAAUCGCGGAUCAGCCAUGCCGCGGUGAAUACGUUCCCGGGGUU
rnacentral:rRNA from 1 species